rnacentral:rRNA from 1 species
GAUGAACGCUGGCGGCGUGCCUAAUACAUGCAAGUCGAGCGAACAGAUGAGGAGCUUGCUCCUCUGACGUUAGCGGCGGACGGGUGAGUAACACGUGGAUAACCUACCUAUCAGACUGGGAUAACUUCGGGAAACCGGCUCUAAUACCGGAUAAUCUCUUGAACCGCAUGGUUCAAUAGUAAAAUACGGUUUUGGUGUCACUUCUAGAUGGAUCCGCGCCGCAUUAGCUAGUUGUUAAGGUAACGGCUUAUCAAGGCAAGGCUGCGUAGCAGACCUGAGAGGAUGAUCGGCCACACUGGAAGUGUGACACGGUCCAGACGCAUACGGGAGGCAGCAGUAGGGAAUCGUGCGCAAGGGGCGAAAGCCUGACGGAGCAACGCGGCGUGAGGGAUGAAGGUCUUCGGAUCGGAAAACUCUGUUAUUGGGGAAGAACAAAUGUGUGAGUAACUAUGCACGUCUUGAAGGUACCUAAUCAGAGAGCCACGGCUAACUACGUG